GAGGAGGAGGCAAGCCCCACUAUCUAUCUUCAAUGACCAACUGCUACACGAGUUAACAUGAGUGAAGUUUUAAAAAAAUGUUGAUUGAAGGAAGACAAACACAUCUAUUUCUAAAUAUUUACCAAAGUUCAAAAACAUACAAUACUAAGCAAAAUAUAAAGAUGUACAACUAUGAAGAAAAGGAAGGCAAAGGUAACACAUGACAGAGGUGGUGUUUAUGUACAGCAGUGGGGUGUGCUGAAGAAGAGUAUCCUCCAGGAGAAGGUACAUAGGUAAUAUUUUGUUUCUAAAGUCUUCCUCAGCAAGCAUAUAUACUAACAAAAUGAAGAAGAAAAUGAUUUUUUCGAAUGGAUUCACUAGCACUAUGCUAAAAUGCAUAGAGAGGCUUAGCUGGGUUACCAGGACAAAGGAAGGACAGGACUAAUAACAUCUUUCUAACAAGGAACAAAAACUACCCCUAAGAAACAAUAGAGAUUCCUCAGGAUAGACCACCUGCCAAGCAACAAGAACCCUCAAAUAUACUUUCUCUGGAACCCCUCCCAAAACAAGGACUAAGAUAAUAAUCCACCUAAAGACUACACCUAUGACAACACUGUUUAAUAAUUAUGCAUGCCUCUUCCCCUGCCCCCAAAUCCUCCUCCUACUUAAACUAAGGCCAAUAUCUGCUGGGGAGGAUAGCUGAAGAUGAACUGAAGUUUACCAUGCCAUGUUAAUAAACCUCCUUUCUCUGCCAUUCACCAUGUCUCUGCAUUUGAUGUAUAGGGAUGAGUCAGACCUAACUGGAAGCCCAGGAGUUUAGAAGAGGUCUAAAACUCUGGUUUCAGAACCAGUUGUAAGCAAAUCACAAGUCUGUGCUCUGUGAUUGUUUUUUUAUUAACAAAAUGAUGACUAUUACCA